CAGUAGUCACCCGGGUUGCCGCAAGGCCUCUCGGGUAACCUACCACCCUUUGUUUAUUACACUUUGUUGCUUUGGCAGGCCUGCCUUCGGGCUGCUGGCUCCGGCCGGCGAGCGCUUACCAGAGGAUCUAAACUCUGUUUGUCUAUACUGUCUGAGUACUAUAUAAUAGUUA
rnacentral:misc_RNA from 1 species